AUUGAACGCUGGCGGCAGGCCUAACACAUGCAAGUCGAGCGAGCGGCGGACGGGUGAGUAAUGUAUGGGGAUCUGCCCGAUAGAGGGGGAUAACUACUGGAAACGGUGGCUAAUACCGCAUACUAUCCGAUGAACCCAUAUGGGAUUAGCUAUUAGGUGGGGUAAAGGCUCACCUAGGCGACGUUCUCUAGCUGGUCUGAGAGGGUGAGCAGCCACACUGGAACUGAGACACGGCCAAGACUCCUACGGGAGGCAGCAGUAGGGAAUAUUCCGCAAUGGGCGCAAGCCUGAUGCAGCAAUGCCGCGUGUGUGAAGAAGGCCUUAGGGUUGUAAAGUACUUUCAUCGGGGAGGCGGUACCCGCAGAGAAAGCCCCGGCUAACUCCGUGCCAGCCGCCGCGGUAAUAC
rnacentral:rRNA from 1 species